rnacentral:rRNA from 1 species
UACGGGGGGGGCAAGCGUUGUUCGGAAUUACUGGGCGUAAAGGGCUCGUAGGUGGCCAACUAAGUCAGACGUGAAAUCCCUCAGCUUAACUGGGGAACUGCGUCUGAUACUGGAUGGCUUGAGUUUGGGAGAGGGAUGCGGAAUUCCAGGUGUAGCGGUGAAAUGCGUAGAUAUCUGGAGGAACACCGGUGGCGAAGGCGGCAUCCUGGACCAACACUGACACUGAGGAGUGAAAGCCAGGGGAGCAAACGGG